AGCAGCCGCGGUAAUUCCAGCUCCAAUAGCGUAUAUUAAAGUUGCUGCAGUUAAAAAGCUCGUAGUUGAAUUUCGGGACUAAUAUGUCGGUCGUGCCUCGGUACGUACUGGCUUAUUGGUUUCUCCUUUCUGAAGAACCAUGAUGUCAUUUAUUUGGUGUCGUGGGGAAUCAGGACUGUUACUUUGAAAAAUUAGAGUGUUUAAAGCAGGCUCACGCUUGAAUACAUUAGCAUGGAAUAAUGAAAUAGGACGUUUGAUUCUAUUUUGUUGGUUUCUAGGAUCGACGUAAUGAUUAAUAGGGAUAGUUGGGGGCAUUAGUAUUCAAUUGUCAGAGGUGAAAUUCUGGAUUUAUUGAAGACUAACUACUGCGAAAGCAUUUGCCAAGGAUGUUUUCAUUAAUCAAGAACGAAAGUUAGGGGAUCGAAGACGAUCAGAUACCGUCGUAGUCUUGACCAUAAACAUGCCGACUAGGGAUCGGAUGAUGUUAAUUUUUAUGACUCAUUCGGCGCCUUAAC
rnacentral:rRNA from 1 species